UCUUUUACUUCAGGCUUCUCCUGCCUCUCUCUCAUAAUAAAACUAGAUGCAGUAAUAACAAGAAAAGCUCACUGCUAAUUCCCUUUAUCUCCUUUGAGCAGAUUCUUGCCAGUCCCUCUUAAGGACCUACUGCCAGGUUUUAGUCUUAGUGGCUGGGGUUAGCUUUCAGAUCACCCACUGUGUUCAGCUGAUGCCCUUGUCAGACCAGAGGGGACUAGGUUUGGUAAAAAGUACCCCAAACCCUCUGCCCCCUGAAGCCCUGGAACUGUUCAUCAGACUGGAAGCCAAAGGCCCCCAUAACUCUAAUUAGUGCGUGCAUAUGUUGGCCAGCCUCUUGGCUGGUUUUAUGGGGUUUCACUGGAGGUGCAUGAAUUGUCCGGGUCAGAUGAGGAUUAGGGUUCCUAAUGAAUCAUGUGACCAUAAGUGGACUUGGAUGGUGGCUGUGUUCAGGAGACCUAUCCCUGGUGCUCUCUUUCUGCGCCAGGAGAGAAAGACUGGUUUGGGAGGAACUAGGCAAGGAGGACACUGUUAGAAGUUUAAAAUGUCCUUUUCAUCUGCAUCUUGUCACAGAAGAUUUACUGGUUAUACACACACACACACACACACACACCAUUCAGAAGUAAGAAGGAACGUUUUUUUCUUGAAAGUAUUGAAUUUAAGACUGGAAAUAGGCCUUUAGAGUUCAUCUGUUCUAACCAUUUCUUUCCAGAUGAGAAGACUCAGGCCCAAAGAUGCUCCUGCUACGCAGCCAGCAUGUGCCACUAAUUAGUGAAACUGGGAGUGGGAAUGGUGUUUUUUAAAAGGGAAGCAGCUCUCAUCAAAGGCCUCGUGGAUCUGGUGACAACACCGACACGCGCUUCGCUUGGAGCCUGGAAACUGUCAGGCGGUGGAGGCGGGGUGGGGGACGCCAGCACUGCGGAGUCCCAAGCUCCGGGCAGGCUGCGUCCCUGGAGAAAGGCUGAGGCUCGGCUGCGGAACUGGCGGCGGUUCACAGGGAAUCUCUGAGGGAGGAAGGGAAACAGGGUCCACUCGUAGUGUGGCCGGAUCCAGUCCGCUGUCGGGGCUGAAGCUCGUGCUUGGACAGGACGCGCCCCUGGACGCCCGGUGGGGAUCCACCAAGGUGGCUCUGAGUUUUGCACAACUUCACGCUUUCAAAAAAGGGUGCUUCCUUUAAAUAUAAUUAUUUUGGCGCGAGUCUCGGUGGGAUCUGAAGUCGAAGGCUUCCCCAGCCUUCGGCUGUCUUUUCUUACUCCCCGGAAACAAAACUGAACAAAAGGGGAUCCCUGGGUGGCGCAGCGGUUUGGCGCCUGCCUUUGGCCCAGGGCGCGAUCCUGGUAGACCCGGGAUCGAAUCCCACAUCGGGCUCCCGGUGCAUGGAGCCUGCUUCUCCCUCUGCCUGUGUCUCUGCGCCUCUCUCUCUCUGUGCCUAUCAUAAAUUAAAAAAAAAAAAAAAACUGAACAAAAUUAAAAGUCAGCCAAGGAAACUAAACAACAGCCCCCACAGGCCAUCCCACAACAUAGCUGGGGGAGCAAUAUUCUGGCUUCAGCGCUCAGGUUCGAAAUCCGAAUAAAAGGAGCCAGCUCUUGGAUUACA
rnacentral:lncRNA from 12 species